CGUUAUACUUAGCAUUGUUGGAGAGCAAAAUGUCAUUUAUAAGAAAAGUUAAACCAUUUGAUUUGCUGUCUACGUCUUUGAUUAGUUGUUAAAUAGUUGUUUUUACCUUAAGAAAGUAAGUUGGUGGAGGGCAUAUACUAGUUUAUGUGAGAGAUGUAAUAUUCAGAAAAUAACUAGAUUUCUUCACUCAGCCUCAAGUAUCUGCAGCCACUGUAAGUUUCGAGAAGGAGACAGCAGUAGUAUGUGUUGUUCCUGAAGUAAAGGUUGCGAAUGAUUGGCAGAAGGAAUUGGGAGAAAAGCUUGCAAACCACUUAACAACUUGUGGAUUUAAGUCCGGCCUUCAAGGUUAAUGAAGAAUAAAGCCAAAGAUCUCUUCUCUAAACAAAA